rnacentral:rRNA from 1 species
CACACUGGAACUGAGACACGGUCCAGACUCCUACGGGAGGCAGCAGUGGGGAAUAUUGCACAAUGGGCGCAAGCCUGAUGCAGCCAUGCCGCGUGUGAAGAAGGCCUUCGGGUUGUAAAGCACUUUCAGCGGGGAGGAAGGCGAUAAGGUUAAUAACCUUGAUUGACGUUACCCGCAGAAGAAGCACCGGCUAACUCCGUGCCAGCAGCCGCGGUAAUACGGAGGGUGCAAGCGUUAAUCGGAAUUACUGGGCGUAAAGCGCACGCAGGCGGUCUGUCAAGUCGGAUGUGAAAUCCCCGGGCUCAACCUGGGAACUGCAUUCGAAACUGGCAGGCUAGAGUCUUGUAGAGGGGGUAGAAUUCCAGGUGUAGCGGUGAAAUGCGUAGAGAUCUGGAGGAAUACCGGUGGCGAAGGCGGCCCCCUGGACAAAGACUGACGCUCAGGUGCGAAAGCGUGGGGAGCAAACAGGAUUAGAUACCCUGGUAGUCCACGCCGUAAACGAUGUCGAUUUGGAGGUUGUGCCCUUGAGGCGUGGCUUCCGGAGCUAACGCGUUAAAUCGACCGCCUGGGGAGUACGGCCGCAAGGUUAAAACUCAAAUGAAUUGACGGGGGCCCGCACAAGCGGUGGAGCAUGUGGUUUAAUUCGAUGCAACGCGAAGAACCUUACCUGGUCUUGACAUCCACAGAACUUUCCAGAGAUGGAUUGGUGCCUUCGGGAACUGUGAGACAGGUGCUGCAUGGCUGUCGUCAGCUCGUGUUGUGAAAUGUUGGGUUAAGUCCCGCAACGAGCGCAACCCUUAUCCUUUGUUGCCAGCGGUCCGGCCGGGAACUCAAAGGAGACUGCCAGUGAUAAACUGGAGGAAGGUGGGGAUGACGUCAAGUCAUCAUGGCCCUUACGACCAGGGCUACACACGUGCUACAAUGGCAUAUACAAAGAGAAGCGACCUCGCGAGAGCAAGCGGACCUCAUAAAGUAUGUCGUAGUCCGGAUUGGAGUCUGCAACUCGACUCCAUGAAGUCGGAAUCGCUAGUAAUCGUAGAUCAGAAUGCUACGGUGAAUACGUUCCCGGGCCUUGUACACACCGCCCGUCACACCAUGGGAGUGGGUUGCAAAAGAAGUAGGUAGCUUAACCUUCGGGAGGGCGCUUACCACUUUGUGAUUCAUGACUGGGGUGAAGUCGUAACAAGGUAACCGUAGGGGAACCUGCGGUUGGAUCACCUCCUUACCUUAAAGAA